rnacentral:rRNA from 1 species
UACGAAGGGGGCUAGCGUUGUUCGGAAUUACUGGGCGUAAAGCGCACGUAGGCGGCUUAGCAAGUCGGAUGUGAAAUCCCCGAGCUUAACUUGGGAAUUGCAUUCGAUGACUGUAGCUAGAGUGUGGGAGAGGAUGGUAGAAUUCCAGGUGUAGCGGUGAAAUGCGUAGAGAUCUGGAGGAAUACCGAUGGCGAAGGCAGCCAUCUGGCCUAACACUGACGCUGAGGUGCGAAAGCAUGGGGGAGCAAACAGG